GUGCGUGACCGAGAAAGUUGCUCUCGGGUUUGGGCUGAGAGGUGCUGAGUACCGGUACUGAGUUACCGAGUACCAGUACUGGAGUCGGGUACCGGUACUGCAUCGAGCAGGUACCGGUAUGCCGUAAACAGAUCGCUUGACCGAGGCUCGGGUUUGACAGAUUUGGUUGCCAGGUACCGGUACUCCUCCCCGAGUACCGGUACGCAGUGCAGAAACUGCAGUUCGUGCAGUUUGCGAUUUUUGGAGUUUUGAGGGGUCUUGAGGGAAUUGUUACAACAUGUUUAUAUUGUCCCCACUUUCCCACUUGUCCCUCUUUGUGCUGAGGUUAGAGAGGAGCAAGGUAGGGUUUCUCCCUCUCUCUCUUUCUAGAUUUCUCUCCUAAACCUCUUUUGAUUUGGGAUUUGAUCUU
rnacentral:lncRNA from 1 species